rnacentral:rRNA from 1 species
AAUACGUUCCCGGGCCUUGUACACACCGCCCGUCAAGCCAUGGAAGUUGGGAGUGCCUAAAGUCCGUAAACCGCAAGGAUCGGCCUAGGGCAAUACCAGUAACUGGGGCU